GCCGGGCAUGGUGGCGGGUGCCUGUAGUCCCAGCUAGUCAGGAGGCUGAGGCAGGAGAAUCGCUUGAAUCCAGGAGGCGGAGGUUGCAGUGAGCCAAGAUGGCGCCACUGCACUCCAGCCUGGGCAACAGAGUGAGACUCUGUCUCUA
ensembl:misc_RNA Metazoa_SRP Metazoan signal recognition particle RNA